rnacentral:lncRNA from 1 species
ACGCCUCACCGCGAAGUAGCCCAGCCCCAGGACUGUGACCAGAGAGGGCAAGGGUCUUGCUGGACGGAAAUAGGCGGUAGCCGCAUUGCUGGCCUCCGACUUCACCAUCCUCUUGAAAAACCCAGACACAGAGUUGGCUGGGAGCUCCCCAGCCGUCCCCGCCCCCAUAUAAGAAAAGCCUGGCUAGCCGGUUUCUCAGGGCCCUGGGCGCCCGCCCAAGACCCUGGCGGACCAGUAUGCUUGCUCUCAUUGCGGAGUCUGGUCCCCUCCCCUCCGCUCCUAGCGCGCGGGAGUCGGGAUUGUGCUUGCACGACUUCCCCCGGCCCGCGGCCUGUGAGCCCAGGUCCUGGGGUGAACCGAGCGCUCGCUCGUUCGUCAGACCGUAGCGCUCCAGCGGCUGUCCUUACUGUGUAGUAGCCAAAGCUGAGGGUGAUGACUGUGAACCAGAACAGACUGCCUCGCUGAAAAGUCACUUGGAACUCUUCUGUGGCAUCUGAAGCAGAUGGACGAAGCCAAGAGGGCCGAGAGUAUCUCAGCACCUAGAAAUGGACAAGGCUGGUUAUUAGAACAAAGAUUUCGCAGGUGGUGAGUCUCAAAGGCGAAGCUGAAUGGUAGUAUAAUUUUUUUUAAAUUUUAAUUAUUAAAAAAUAUUUUUUGGAGGGGAUAGAGUCUUGCUGUCACCCAGGCUGGAGUGCAGUGGCACUAUCUCAACUCACUGCAACCUCCGACUCCCAGGUUCAAGCGAUUAUCAUGCCUCAGCCUCCUGAGUAGCUGGGAUUACAGGCAUGUGCCACCAUACCUGGCUAAUUUUUGUAUUUUUAGUAGAGACGGGGUUUUGCCAUGUUGGUCAGGCCGGUCUCGAACUCCUGACCUGAAGUGAUCCAUCUGUCUUGGCCUCCCAAAAUUCUGGGAUUACAGAUGUGAGCCACCACUCCUGGUCUGAAUGGGAGUUUAAUAGUAGUUAGGUCAUGAAACUCCCUGCCAGGCAUUCUAAUACAUUCUGACUUUGCUUUGCAGGUGAUAAUUGGGAGCUAUGUAUAUAUUUUUGUUUUGUUUUGUUUUGUUUUUUGAUACAGAGUCUCGCUCUGUCGCCCAGGCUGGAGUGCAGUGGCAGGAUCUCAGCUCACUGCAAGCUCCGCCUCCCGGGUUCACGCCAUUCUCCUGCCUCAGCCUCCCAAGUAGCUAGGAAUACAGGCGCCCGCCACCACGCCCGGCUAAUUUUUUGUAUUUUUAGCAGAGACGGGGUUUCACCGUGUUAGCCAGGAUGGUCUCGAUCUCCUGACCUCGUGAUCCACCUGCCUCGGCCUCCCAAAGUGCUGGGAUUACAGGCCUGAGCCACCUCGCCCGGCCAGGAGUUACGUAUUUUUAAAAGUUCACCAGAACGUUGAUUUUCAGAGACUGCAUUUGUGCUAUUCACAGCUGCAUUGCAGGUCUCAAUACAUAGCACUCAGUAUAAGCUGGGCCCUUACUGUUUCGCGAUAUUUUGAAAAAGGAUUAAGGACUCAGUGGACAUCCACCAAAGCCGAGCUUGAUAAAGAAUCUGGGCCAGGGCCGGGUGUGGUGGCUCACGCCUGUAAUCCCACCACUUUGGGAGGCCGAGGUGGUUGGAUCACGUGGUCAGGAGUUCGAGACUAUCCUGGCUAACAGUGAAACCCCCGUCUCUAUUAAAAAUGCAAAAAAAAAUUAGCCGGGCGUGGUGACGGGCACCUGUAGUCCCAGCUACUCAGGAGGCUGAGGCAGGAGAAUUGCUUGAACCCGGGAGGUGGAGGUUGCAGUGAGCCGAGAUCAUGCUACUGCACUCCAGCCUGGGCAACAGAACAAUACUCCGUCUCAAAAAAAAAAAAAAAAAAAAAAAAAAAAAAAAAAAAAGGAAAGAAUCUCACACCUGUAAGUAACCCUGCACUUUGGGAGGCUGAGGUGGGCGGAUCACCUGAGGUCAAGAGUUGGAGACCAGCCUGGCCAACAUUGUGAAGCCCUGUUUCUACUAAAAAUACAAUUAGCCGGGCGUUGUGGCUUGCGCCUGUAAUCCAAGCUACUCAGGAGGCUGAGAUGGGAUAAUCGAUUGAACCAGGGAGGCGGAGGUUGCAGUGAGCCGAGAUCGCGCCACUGCACUCCAGCCUGGGCAACAGCAAGAAGAAAAAAAAUCUGAAGUAGGGGAGCUUUCAAGGAAGACAAAGAUUGGCUAACAAUGUUCGAUGACUUAGGAAAGAAGAUUAACCGUAUGAUCGGGCAAUUUAGGACCUGAUUUGUUAACUUUUACCAAUGAUGUCUAAACAAUGCAGUGAGAACAGAGAGACUGGAGUUGAGAAAAGAAUGAAAAGAAAGAAAGUGAAGGUGCCUGGUAAAAAUGUUUUUGGAAGCAGCUUGAUGGGGGCGGACGGGGAAGGUCGCCACCUAGUGUGAUUUCAAGGUUACUGAGAAUAAAGCACGAGUGGGCGUGGUGGCUCAAGCCUGUAAUCCCAGCGUUUGGGAGGCCAAUGUGGGUGGAUCACUUGAGCUCAGGAGUUCGAGACCGGCCUCGGCGAAGUUGCGUAAACCUAGUGUCUACAAAAAAUACAAAAAUUAGCUGGGUGUGGUGGCGCGUGCCUGUAAUCCGAGCUACUCGCGAGACUGAGGCAGGAGAAUUGCUUGAACCUGGGAGACGGAGCUUGCAGUGUGCCGAGAUCCUGCCACUGUACUCCAGCCUGGGUGACAGAGCAAGACUCGGUCUCAAAAAAUAAUAAAUCAACAACCACAAAGCGGGCCCGAAUUACUGGGAAGACAAAAAAGCCAAAGAACUCAGCAUAGGCCCAAUCUAAUUUUGGUUUGCUCUACUCUCUCAGUCGUUGAUAUUCUCCAAGACUUCCAGCUCCCAAAAUAUUUCUUCAACUACCCCAAAGCAUCUGGCACUGCUUGAAAGGACCUGCUGGAGUCCCAGGAUGAAAGGAGGUUAUGUUAACCAUCCUUGCGCGGAAAUGAAGAAAACCACGAGUUGUUCCUCCUGCUUUUUCCUGUUUUUUUUUUCUGUUGUUGUUGUUGUUGUUGCAGAGGCGCGGUCCACCCUGGAAUGAAGUGAGAAACCGAAAUCAUUUGGGGCUGUUUCCUUCCUGCAAGUCAGCCAUUACCUUGCCCAAUUCAAACUUUAUUUUCACCUGCUUUAAUUCCUGCUAGUUAUUUUCCUCUUCUUAGAGUUUGACCUCAGGUAAAUUAGCUAAUCUCUCUGUGCUUCAGUAGUCAUCUGUAUAAUAAUAUAUAUCUCCGUAAGGCACUGUAAGAUUUAGGUAAGAUAAUGUCUGAAAACUCUGUUCUUUGGGCCGGCCAUAUAAUGAGUCCUCAUAAAUUGUAGCAAUUAGUUUAAGUAGAACGAAGAAUAUAUGUAUCACUCUGAAUUAAGAUGGAUUAAUAUAAAACACUUGUCGAGGAUGAGCUGCAUUUUCCAAACCUGGAGGACAAAAAACCCUCCAAGUGUUAUUACCUUAUUCCACACAUUUGGGAAAGUACAAUGUCCUAGAGUUGUGAAAAAAGCAGAAAAGCCCACAGUUUCCUUGUCUGUAAUAUGGAGGUUUUGGUAUCUCAUAGGGUAGUUUUUAGAAUAAGAUGAAUUAGCAAAUGGUUUAAUGUUUAUAAAACAUUAGUUUUAUAUCUUAGAAUGUCCUUAUUCAGUGUUAAUCUCUGGUCACUCCUGCCUCCAAUCUCAGUAUUCUGUAAGCAAUGAUAUAUCAGGUGAUGUGGAUCUUCUGUGAGCCUGACAAGGCUUCCGUCCUCACAGAGCGUGCAGUCUAUAAAUGUGAAAGUGAUGGCCACAGGCAGGAGGUUCAAGGUCAGACUGCCUGGGUCAGAGGCUCACUCUGUGCUCUAAACCUUUCUGUCCCCCUGUCUUCAAGUCUAAGUAGGAUUAAAAUAGGAUGCACAUUAUAAGGGUGUUGUAGGGAUUAAAUAAGCAAAUUGUUUUCACUGGGUGCUCAUUGAGUGAAUGGGAUUUGAAAAGUUAGGUAAAGCCAUCAAGAGGUGUGUCUAGGGCAAGGCUGUGCCUAGGGUGGGGCUGUGUCUGGGGCGGGGCUGUGUCUAGGGUGUGUGAGGGAGGGCGUCUCAGGGUUAUGUUUGAUGAUUGCUGCUUCAGAGUUAAUCACUUUAUCAUUCAGAACCUGGACUAGAGAUUCAUCUGAACUUCCAACGGUGAGUUUCUGUGGUGGACACCAAAGCGUGUUUCUUUUGCAGGAGGCUCCUUACCUAAUGCAUUAGUGUUUUGUAUUAAUAGGUGUUUGGGCUUUCACUUUUUUUUUUUUCUUUUGAGACAGGGUCUUACUCAGUUGCCCCGGCUGGAGUUGGGGAAUCUUGGCUCACUGCAACCUCUGCCUCCUGGACUCAAAGCUAUAUUCUCCAGCCUCAGCCUCCCAAGUAGCUGGGACCACAGGCAUGCACCACCACACCUGGCUAAUUUUGGUUUUUUUGUAGAGACAGGGUUUUGCUAUGUUGCCCAGGCUGGUCUCAAACUCCUGAACUCAAAGCAAUCUGCUCACCUCAGCCUCACAAAGUGCUGGGAUUACAGGCAUGAGCCACCCUGCUAGGCCUGACUUUCACCUUUCAAAAGUUCAAGCUUGUAGGCUGGGAACAGCUGAUUUCAUCAGAGUAAUUGUGUGUGGUUGCCGUAUGGUAGAAUUGGGUAUAGGAUUUUACUAGAGGCUCAGGUAUUUAAAUCUUAACCCAUCAUAGCAUUAAGAGAGACUUUAUAUUUUAGAGAUACAUAUGGAUGUAUUUUCGGGUGAAUGACAUGUCUGAGAUUCACUUCAAAAUAAUGAGGGUGGGGUGUCAAGGAGAUAAAAUUGGCCAGGUAUUGCUAUAUAUUAAAUUUCAGUGAUAAGAUCAUCAGGCUAAUUAUACGCUUCCGUCUACUUUCCUGUAUGGUUAAAUGUAAACAGGGUGAAUACUGAAAACAAAAACGUCCUCAAAGCAAAAGAGCUAUACUGGAAGAAUUGUAGAAAUGGCCCUAGGCAUUUUUUUCCCUUUUGUUCACAGAUUUGAUAUUUCAUGAAAUUCAGAAAUAAUUUGGAGCUUUUCAAACCUGGGAUAUGGAAGAAACUGACACUCCUGUUCUCUGGGAAGAGGCAAGAAUCUGCAUCAAAGAGCCCUGGAAGCAAUCAUGGCUCAACUGUGAUGCCUUUAGAACAUGAAGUCCUCCAAGAAGAUGCCAUAGGAAUGGCCUCCAUCCCAGGGCCUGGAGAGCAGCCAGAGACAAGAAGAGUAGCCCAGGAGGGCACUGGCAGUCAGUGCUACACUGUGGCCUGUCAGUCUCAGAGCCAGGAUUUAAUCACUGGAUCUCCCAUUAACCAGUCAUAAUGAAGUAAGAACAAGAAGAUGGGGAAGAGGAAGUGUAAAACCGUGGCUUAAAUUUGCCAAGGAUAAGCUGAGUGUACUUCAGCAGUCAUUUGCACAGAAUCCUUAUCCUAAUUUUACAACCAGGGAAAAACUGGCUGGACAGUCUCUUGUCCUGUGUUUGUAAUUGAUAACUGGUUUCAAAAUAAAAGCCAGACCACCACUUAGAGAGAGACACAGAAUGUUCACUGCCAGGGAACUGCAUGAUUCCUCUGCCAAAGGCCACCCAUUUACAAGAAUCCAGGAAAACCAGGUGGAAUCUCCCAAUGAUGACCCUGAGCAGAACUUCUUGUACCCAGGAAGUUCUACUGGGUGGAGCUGGCCACUCUUCCGUGGAGACACAGGGGACUCCCAAUUAACAUGAUGGCUCAAAUAACUGUAGCCUUAUGGAUUAAAAGGAAACUAAGCUGUGAUUUGGAGUAUCCAGGUGAUACAGAAAAUGGCCCUUGUCGAUGUAGAUCAGCAUUAUUUCCUUAUCCUUCUGCAUCUCCUCCUCAGUAUUCUGAAAGGGACAAGCCUGAGAUGGGGGAAAGCCAGCAUGCAAGGCCCUCCCCUUUGUGCUGUGUUCAUGGUGUGCACGGAGAGAGGCAGCAGCAGGAGGAACAGAAAGGUUAUUUUCUUUACUGACUCUUUCAAGGACAUCAGCAGAAUGGUUGGGAAUGUCAUCAUGAGCAGCCUCAGCCUCAGAAUUACCAGGAGAAGCUGGUCUUCCAGGAUCAGGUUCUAAUGUAUAUGAGUCACAGGAUUUAGGGAAGCAGGCACUUUCCCUUCAGUCCCAGCAGCAUGGUUGAUGUUCCCAAGUAAUGGAGAGUCCCUGUGCUCUCAGUUGUGGCACACACCUUUGCAAAUAGUGAUCAGAUCUCCACAAACGCCUCUUGGGUAAGAUAUGCAGCAACAUAGCUGGCUGCAGAGCAACCCAGUUCCCAAAUCCAGCAGCUCUUGGAUGAGAAGUCUGCAAGUGUUUACUGCUGGGACCAGGACUGUGUUUCUAGGAAAUGGUGCUAGGCUUCAGAGAGCAUCAUCCACAGGUCAUCCCACAACCAUCCACACAGAAGCCUGAGGAAAAGGGCUCUGCAGAGCUUGCACAUAAAGAUGCUGAACUCAGGAAGGCUCUGUGAGCUGCUGGUCUCUUCUGGUAGGGCAGCAGUGUCCUGAGAAGGUGGAGCUAGAGUAUGGAGAACAAAACUAACAAGCACCAAGGCAGCAAGCAAGGCAACCCCCAAAUGACAGCAGUUGCCAAAUCCAAAGCAAUCUGUGCUUCAGAAGACAGAGGCUCUGCACAGUCCCUGUCUCAGACAUUGUCUCCUCCUUAGAAGAUACCUAACAACAGCACUGUGGGAGGCUGAGGUGGGUGGAUCACCAGGUCAGGAGAUCAAGACCAUCCUUGAUCUUUAGUAGAGACGGUGAAACACUGUCUCUACUAAAAAAUACAAAAAAAAAUUAGCUAGCCGUGGCGGCGGGCACCUGUAGUCUCAACUAUUUGGGAGGCUGAGGCAGGAGAAUGGCCUGAACCCGGGAGGCAGAGCUUGCAGUGAGCUGAGAUUGCGCCACUGCACUCCAGCCUGGGCAACAGAGUGAGACUCCAUCUCAAAAAAAAAAAAAAAAAAAAAAAAAAAAGAUACCUAACAAGCAGUACAAGAAUAUGAAGGACCCCACUGCCCAGACUUUGUAUGGAGGGGUGUCUAAGGUGGCUACAGCAAAGCUGUCAUCUCCAUCGACCGGGACAGCAUCUCCAGCCAUGAUGUGUGGCCUGCUGGAACAGCAGCCAUGUGUCCUUUCACAGACAGCCCACCAAAGCUCUGACUGUGAAGGACAUCCCAACAUCAGCCUAGCCUGCAUACACUUAAGGCAUAGAAUCACCUGAGGCUUCUCCGUUGAAGACAGGGACUCCCGAUGGAGUUGCAGCCCCAGCUUUGCACUGUAAAGAGCCCCAGGGGGCUUCUGUGCUAGAGCAGGUGUGCAGACCCCUCCUCACCCCCUUCACUGAGAGCUGCUGCCUGGAACCAGUGUUUUGACUGAGUCACCUCUGGACGUGGGCCCACAAGAUCUGAGAGUGCCCAGACGAGAAGUUGAAUGCCUUGUGUUGACCUGAGUGUUUGGAAAAAAGCCCCAAACUUUGAAACAAUUUUCAUAAUUUUGAGCUUCAGGAUGUGGAAUCACUUCUCAAGUAUUCUGGAGUUCUGUCCAUCAGAGCGGGUCCUGCCAAUGCUGCCCUGUGCAGCGCUUCAGGCUGCAUCCCUCCCACUAGGGGGCGCCUUUCACAUAGUGGCGCCUGCCUUCUAGAGGAGCAACAUUUCCUGAACUGCAGGGUUCCCUCGGGGCUUUGUGUAAAACACAUCCACUGCAUAGAAUUUGUGUUAUUUCCAUUUUGUUUUCUUGACAAUAUUUAAUUAAUUACAAAAUGAUGUAUGUUAUGAUAGUUUAAGCAAUACAGAGAGUAACCAAACAAAAGCUUGGUCUUUUAUUCUCGCACUCUGAAUUUACAGUCCUGAAAACUCUAAACUCAUCAUAUAAUCUAUAUUGUAAAGACUUUGAUAAUCCCUUCCCUUGCCUUUCCUUUCCCCAUUCCCCCUUCCCCUUCCUUCUUCUACAUUGUAUGAUGUUUUUCAUAUUUACAUUCUAACCAAUUGUGUCAUGUGAUACUAAUUUGCAGAAUAAAGCAUGUUUUGCACAUAUUUCCAAGUCAUAUAACAUGCAGACAUACUUCAUUUUGUAAAUAUCUUCCUUCUCUUACUAUAAGAUUGAGAAUAGGUAAAGAGCAACUCUCCAAUGCAGGUGAUGAGUGUGAUUUGCACUAUCACUUUGGACAGCCAAUUGGAAUAUUUAUUGAAGUCAUAGAUGCCCAGCAAUUCUGUUACUGGAUGUGUCUCAUAGACAAACUCUUGGACAUUCUUAUAGAACACUGAGCCCAAAGAAGACACAUCAUAUAAUGUAAGAAGCUAGGACAGCUUAAAAAAAAAAGGCCUAGAUCUGUGUAAUUGUGUGAGUGUUCUCGGACAUACUGUUUGUAAAAAAUCGAGUUAUUGAGUAGUUUGAUAAUAUGAUAAUCAUGAAAAUAAAGGAUAAAGCAGCGAGU